rnacentral:lncRNA from 1 species
ACAGAAUGAGAAAGUCGUGAAUCUACAUAACAACCAAGUAAUGAUUUUUAGGCCCACACUGCAGAAUUAUUUAUGGCAAAAAAAAAAUAGGCUUAAUACCAUUUUUAGUCCCUAGUUUGGGAAGUUUUGUUCGAUAUGGUCCUACCUUAUUUUUAGUAACAAUUGAUCUCACAUUUUGAAAAAAUUGUUUAAUUGACUUCUUUUUAGUUACGAUGUCAAUUUUCUAAUGGUGCUGGUUACGACGUCAAUAAGUUC